UUUUUUAAACCCUACCUACCCACCGCUCCCGACCUGCACCCGAACCCUAAAAUCCCUCAAACCCCUCUUGUCAGUCAUCCCUACCCGAACGCCGGCGACUUGCAAUCCUCAUCCGGCCAUUCACAAUCGUUCAUCAGGUUGAAGCAGAGGAACAAACUGAGAUUUCAGAGUCGUAUUUGGUUUCAACAGUCCCUUAUUUCGCCUUUUGUAAGGUCAGUUCGGUCACAUUCGGUGAGUCUAUCGCACACGAUUAUUCAUUUACUGGACGGUAAUCUCAACUUACACUACCACUGAUGAAGAUUAUAUAAUUGAUUUAAGGAAUUUGAAAGAAGCAUUAAACCUGAUAAUGCCCUAAGUAGACCAUGGGACUGGUUUGUUGAUUAUUUUACUAAUUUUUGCAUGUGUGAUGAGAACAUGGAUUCAGGCAGAUAACUACCUCAGUACAGGCUGCUACAAUCUCAGUUCAGUGUGCUGGUUUUGUGCAAACAAGUAAUGAGAUGGCUCUUGGCACCGUUGUAAUACUCAUUUCCAUCUAUGGUGGGAAACAAUUCUCCCUAUCCAUUCACAUAUACAACUAUUAAGGUCCAACCUGUGGACAACUUCCAACCUUUCAUGUAUAUAUGACAUCGAACAAAUCCAAUAGGUUGGCCCAAUCAUAAGUCAACUUUUGAAAAAUUCAGCAACUGCCACUUAUUGAGUGGACCAAACUCGUGUUUUCCUUUUACCAAUGGCUGGACAUUAGUUUUUUUUUUUUUUUUUGGGUGGACCACUUCAUGAGUAUAUAGGGCUGACCUUUGGUACUUUGCACAAGGAAAUCCUCAUGGUGGAGCCAACCUUUCGGUUGGACUUGAGAUUUCAUACAUAUACUGCUACAAGUGUUGAUAACCAUGUGAUAGCACCGGCCACUUUUCUAAUAAAAGUGUUUUUUGGAAAACAAAAAAGGAAAAAGAAAAAAGAAGAAGCUGAACCAUGUCUGCUAUCCUGGGUACCAUUUUUCACAUUUAUUUGGUGGGUUGUUUACAGGAAGGAGUUCGGCAGCUUGUACUAGGCCUAUACAUCAUAAGGGGUGAUAACUUAAGUGUUGUUGGAGAGUUGAUGAAGAGCUCAACUCAAAUCCAAACUUGUCGGACCUUCGAGCACACCCCCUCAAGCCCGUAAUACACUGAUUAGCAGAGUGGCAGAGCUUCUUGUCGCUGCCGUCAGUGUAUGACCAUGUCUGGCUUAGAUUCCUUUAGUUGAGUUGUGUUUAGAUGUGCUAUUGAAUUGAACUGCAAUAAUUAGUUCAAUAAAGUGGAAAUGAUCAAAUCACAUAUACACUACUAAUUGUACUGAUGGGUGAGGCUCAAGUUGCUAUUAUGUCACUUUCAAGUUGAAUACAAGGAUUUAAGUGCAAUCUGAGGCCACUUUCUCAUUACCAAAACUACAAUUUGUUCAUUUCCUCUAUAGAAGUAAUUAUUGCAAUUUAAUUCACUGGUGCAUCCAAUGCAGUGCUAAUCUGUGUAAGAAACGUUUAUUGAAGCUUCUCAUGUGUGCAGUCUCUGGUGAUAUGGAUUUGGGCACUAGUGACACAAGUAUAACACAAGUAUCAUGUGGACCACCCCCUGUAUCUUUAUUCCAUAUCUGUUUGUUUGUGGUUUUUUUUUUUUGGGGAUGAAUUUCAAUUUUCUUUUUUCCUCCUUGGGUGUAUAUAUGUUGCCGUUAAGGCAGAUUGGAAUCAGGAUAUCAGCUUAACA